rnacentral:rRNA from 1 species
AUUGAACGCUGGCGGAAUGCUUUACACAUGCAAGUCGAACGGUAGAGGGGGCAACCCCUCGAGAGUGGCGAACGGGUGAGUAAUAUAUCGGAACGUGCCCAGUCGUGGGGGAUAACGUAGCGAAAGUUACGCUAAUACCGCAUACGAUCUAAGGAUGAAAGCGGGGGAUCGCAAGACCUCGCGCGAUUGGAGCGGCCGAUUUCAGAUUAGGUAGUUGGUGGGGUAAAGGCUCACCAAGCCAACGAUCUGUAGCUGGUCUGAGAGGACGACCAGCCACACUGGAACUGAGACACGGUCCAGACUCCUACGGGAGGCAGCAGUGGGGAAUUUUGGACAAUGGGCGAAAGCCUGAUCCAGCCAUUCCGCGUGCAGGAUGAAGGCCCUCGGGUUGUAAACUGCUUUUGUACAGAACGAAAAGGUUUCUACUAAUACUAGGAGCUCAUGACGGUACUGUAAGGAUAAGCACCGGCUAACUACGUGCCAGCCGCCGCGGUAA